AACUUUUAGAAAUGGAUCUCUUGGUUCUGGCAUCGAUGAAGAACGCAGCGAAAUGCGAUAAGUAAUGUGAAUUGCAGAAUUCAGUGAAUCAUCGAAUCUUUGAACGCACAUUGCGCCCCGUGGUAUUCCGCGGUGCAUGCCUGUUCUAGCGUCAUUUCAACCCAUCAAGCUUCGGCUUGGACUUGGGGCCUGCGGCUUCGCAGCCUCUAAACUCAGUGGCAGUGCUAUUGAGCUCUGAGCGUAGUAAUUCUUUCUCGCUAUAGGGUCUCGGUAGUUACUUGCCAGUAACCCCCAAUUUUUAUCAGGUUGACCUCGGAUCAGGUAGGGAUACCCGCUGAACUUAAGCAUAUCAAUAAGCGGAGGCU
rnacentral:misc_RNA from 1 species